rnacentral:tRNA from 1 species
AUUUAAAUAGUUUAAUUUUAAAAAUAUUAAUUUGUGGAGUUAAAGAUAUAAAAAAUAUUUAUUUUAAAUU